AUGCCGCCUAGUGGUCUUCCCCAGUCGUUGGCGACCUCUCCUUUGCAGCAAUGCCUCAUCCUCGAGAGGCGGUGCGGCAAGCACUUAUCAGCAGAACGCACCCCUGCAGAAGUGGCGGUUGACUUCACAACUAGUGGCAACGGGGUGGUCGGUGUUGUGCGUCUCUCCUCUGCUUGCAGCAAUGACAGAGGUUCCCCAUGGGUUGUAGUUGUGUGGGCAGCAGUAAGUGUUGGCCAGAUAGGAGGGGUUCAUUACUGGCAGCGGUGGCAUGGGAGUCUCUGCUUGUGUUGGCGAAGGAGGUGA
rnacentral:rRNA from 1 species